CCGGCGUCACAAAGGAAGUUGUGCGGGGGAGUCGGGACUGAUUUUCCUUCUUAUAGAACUUAAAAGACAGCCCCAUUCCGAACCAGAAUCUGUUCAGACAGCGUGAGCGCCGGCCGGGGCACGGGCGACCUGCGGGGAUUUCGGCUGACCCGGGAGUUCACGAUGCCCGUACUCUGCCUCAGGGUCAUUACGAGGGCCAGUGGAACCUGAUCGACACUGGUCAAUUUGGGAAGAAUGGUGGCCUUAUACAAGAGGACAAUAUUUGACAGAAGUUGGCUCGCAGCGUCCCGGUAGCUCGCCGUGAUCGUAUAGUGGUCACAGAAUCAGCAGACCCUCCACCUGGAAAAGUUCUUGAGAACAUAACCUGUGGACUGAAUCA